GAGAGCUGGAAGAUAUGGUAGCAGUACUGGCAGGCCUCUUGACACUGUACAGGCAUCUCCCUGCUGAAGGCCAGGGUCUUUUUGAGCUACUGCAUGUGCCUACAAAUGAACCUGUCCUUGGAAAAGAAACAGAAGCUGCUGCCAAUUACCACAGAGGGCUGGAACUGAAUAGGAAAUCCCAAGGAUACUGCUAGGCUGAGAAUGCUGCUGGUGCAAGGCUAUGCUGGAAAGUCUGCAGGGAUUCGUGACUGCCAGUAGCAAAUCUUGCAGAAAAAGCAAAGGAAGAGUUGCUAAAGGUCGUCUCCUCAGAACCAGGACAG